GAUGAAGAACGUAGCAAAGUGCGAUAAGUAAUGUGAAUUGCAGAAUUCCGUGAAUCAUCGAAUCUUUGAACGCAAAUUGCACUUUCUGGUAUUCCGGAGAGUAUGCCUGUUUGAGGGUCAGUGUAAUAAAUAAAUCGUGGUUGUUACCACCUUUCGUGGUGACGCUUCGGAAUUGAGUCCUCUUACCCUUCGGGUUAAGUGACUUAAAAUUUUUUCAUACGAUUUCGAAACGUAUUUAAUGUAUUAUGUACGUUCACGAAUAUCGAAUGUUUAUUAGGUGCGGUCAUUUUUCAUGAAUUCGCGUCUAUAAUUUUUUUUUUUUGACCUCAAAUCAGGUAAGAAUACCCGCUGAACUUAAGCAUAUCAAUAAGCGGAGGA
rnacentral:misc_RNA from 1 species